ensembl:snRNA U4 U4 spliceosomal RNA
AGUUUUGCGCAGUGGCAGUAUUGUAGCCAAUGAGGUUUAUCUGAGGCGCGAUUAUUGCUCAUUGAAAAAAAUACAACAUCUCCC